AGCGCACCCCUAUCCUUAUUUGCCAGCGCAUAAUGGCGGGAACUAUAAGGAGACUGCCGGUCAUAAACCGGAGGAAGGCGGGGACGACGUCAAGUCAUCAUGGCCCUUAUGGGUAGGGCUACACACGUGAUACAAUGGGUGGUACAGAGGGUCGCCAAAGCGCGAGCUGGAGCCAAACCCUUAAAACCAUUCUUAGUCCGGAUUGGAGUCUGCAACUCGACUCCAUGAAGUCGGAAUCGCUAGUAAUCGCGAAUCAGAAUGUCGCGGUGAAUACGUUCUCGGGCCUUGUACACACCGCCCGUCACGUCAUGGAAGUGGGUUGCACCAGAAGUGGCUUGUUUAACCUUCGGGAAAACGGUCACCACGGUGUGAUUCACAACUGGGACGAAGUCGUAACAAGGUAGCCCUAGGGGAACCUGGGGCUGGAUCA
rnacentral:rRNA from 1 species